UCACACGAAAACAAAAACAUAGGAACACAUGCAAGAAGCAAGAUCUAUUUAUGUGAAAAUUAUUGUUUGUGACUGCAUGACAAGCCAUUCAGAAAUAGAGGGCAUUGAAAAUUAAUUAACCUUUCUUGGUGGAGACAUGGAGAGACAUUCAAGGAGCUUAAGGAGUCAAGUAGGAAAAACACCCAUUCAAAAGCCGCUUUGCAGACUGUGCGAGUGUCCGACGUCGGACGGCCACGUCCUCGCGUCGCAGGUGGACAGGCUCAAGCUGAGGAAAUGGGCCAUGAAGGCCAUGAACCUGACUUAAGAGGACGAAAACUUGCCGGAAGUGGUCGAAAAACACGAUUUGAUCUGCUAUUUUUGCAUCUGGCAGGCCGAGUUUGGGGAUGAGUCUGGAGACGAGGCUGUUGCUUGGUGGCCGAAAAAUCUUGAUUUGGAAGAAAAUGCUAAGGUUCUUAGGGAGAAUUAUUCAGUUGGAGCAGUAGAACAAUGUUGGGUGCAGUUGGAAGAGGUUGAUCUGGCGAAGCACACAAAGGAAGUCCCUGAAAACAAACCAUUCGAAAGCUAUAAUAUUCGUUGCGAAUUUUGUAAAAAUAUCAAAAAAUGUUAUCCGACAGUGCAAUCAUGGAGGCUGCACGUGCGUCGGUUUCAUCCGGAAUAUUCAGUGGAGUGCACGCGUUCAGGCUGCAAUGAGUUCUUCAAAUCCAAGCCUGAAAUGAUUCUCCACGUCAACUCGUGGCACAAACGAAGCAUAAAUCAAGAUCUUUUCCAAUGCAAGCAUUGCGAGUUUUCCACCACGAUUAAGUACUCACUGAAACAACACGUCGAGGCGAAGCACAUGCCAAAGAUCUUCAAAUGCGACAGUUGCAGCGCCAAAUACGGCUCGAAAAUCCAGGUGAAUAAGCACGUCAAACAAACUCACACGAGUGCAAAUCUUGUGGCCAGGACGUGGCUUUCGGAAUGAUUGCAACCCACAGAAAGCCAUCGGUUUGCUUCGCAUGCAAAGUCAGUUUCAAGUGCUUCGGUUUGUAUCAAUUGCAUUGGAAGAGCUGCAAACAAACUGUCUUUCGAUGCAAAAAGUGUGGAAAACCGUUCGACAUGUCUUGGAAGGUGAAACGCCACGAGAGACAAGUUCACUCCAAAAUUGCGAAAUUCCGCUGCUGCCAUUGCGACCAUUCUGCAUAUGACAAGAACCACAUGACGAAACACAUGGAAAGCAAACAUUUUCCAAGGACGAUUAAGUGUGG